rnacentral:lncRNA from 1 species
AUUUGACAGUGACUUCCCUGGGAAACCCUCUGGGUACUUUGAAAACAUCACCUCAUUGUUGGGAAGAUUUCAGAGGCAUCAUUUGACCUACUUCAUACACUGAGGACAGAGCCUAGAUGAGGGACACAGGAAACAUUGGACCUCACCCUUUAGAAGUGAGCCUUCUCUUAUUCACCUUUAACAAAGAAGGAAUUUCUGACUCCUGUUACAAUACUGAUGAACUUUGAGGACAUUAUACCAAGUGAAAUAAACCAGACAUAAAAAG